rnacentral:rRNA from 1 species
CAAUAGCGUAUAUUUAAGUUGUUGCAGUUAAAAAGCUCGUAGUUGGAUUUCGGUUAAGAGCGACCGGUCCGCCGUUUGGUGUGCACUGGUUGGUUUUAACUUCCUGUAGAGGACGUGCUCUGGGUUUAACGACCUGGACUCGGAGUCUACGUGGUUACUUUGAAAAAUUAGAGUGUUCAAAGCGGGCUUACGCUUGAAUAUUUCAGCAUGGAAUAACACUAUAGGACUCCUGUCCUAUUUCGUUGGUCUCGGGACGGGAGUAAUGAUUAAGAGGAACAGUUGGGGGCAUUCGUAUUUCAUUGUCAGAGGUGAAAUUCUUGGAUUUAUGAAAGACGAACUUCUGCGAAAGCAUUUGCCAAGGAUGUUUUCAUUAA